rnacentral:rRNA from 1 species
UACAGAGGGUGCAAGCGUUGUUCGGAAUUAUUGGGCGUAAAGCGCGUGUAGGCGGCUUUGCAAGUCGGGUGUGAAAGCCCUCAGCUCAACUGAGGAAGUGCGCCCCGAAACUGCAGAGCUUGAGUACCGGAGAGGGUGGCGGAAUUCCCCAAGUAGAGGUGAAAUUCGUAGAUAUGGGGAGGAACACCGGUGGGCGAAGGCGGCC